rnacentral:rRNA from 1 species
UGCAGUCGAACGGCAGCACGGGUGCAAUCCUGGUGGCGAGUGGCGAACGGGUGAGUAAUAUAUCGGAACGUGCCCAGUCGUGGGGGAUAACGCAGCGAAAGCUGUGCUAAUACCGCAUACGAUCUCUGGAUGAAAGCGGGGGACUCGUAAGAGCCUCGCGCGAUUGGAGCGGCCGAUAUCAGAUUAGCUAGUUGGUGGGGUAAAGGCCCACCAAGGCGACGAUCUGUAGCUGGUCUGAGAGGACGACCAGCCACACUGGAACUGAGACACGGUCCAGACUCCUACGGGAGGCAGCAGUGGGGAAUUUUGGACAAUGGGCGCAAGCCUGAUCCAGCAAUGCCGCGUGCAGGAUGAAGGCCUUCGGGUUGUAAACUGCUUUUGUACGGAACGAAAAGGUCUGCCUUAAUACGGUGGGCCCAUGACGGUACCGUAAGAAUAAGCACCGGCUAACUACGUGCCAGCAGCCGCGGUAAUACGUAGGGUGCGAGCGUUAAUCGGAAUUACUGGGCGUAAAGCGUGCGCAGGCGGUUAUAUAAGACAGAUGUGAAAUCCCCGGGCUCAACCUGGGACCUGCAUUUGUGACUGUAUAGCUAGAGUACGGUAGAGGGGGGAUGGAAUUCCCGCGUGUAGCAGUGAAAUGCGUAGAUAUGCGGAGGAACACCGNAUGGCGAANGGCAUCCCCUGGACCUGUACUGACGCUCAUG